UACGUAGGGGGCAAGCGUUAUCCAGAUUUACUGGGCGUAAAGCGCGUGUAGGCGGCUGGUUAGGUGUGAUGUGAAAUCUUCGGGCUCAACCCGAAAACUGCAUUGCAAACCGGCCUGGCUAGAGUGCAGGAGAGGGAAGCGGAAUUCCAGGUGUAGCGGUGAAAUGCGUAGAUAUCUGGAGGAACACUAGUGGCGAAGGCGGCUUCCUGGCCUGCAACUGACGCUGAGACGCGAAAGCGUGGGGAGCGAACCGG
rnacentral:rRNA from 1 species